rnacentral:rRNA from 1 species
GAAAGCGUGGGUAGCAAACAGGAUUAGAUACCCUGGUAGUCCACGCCCUAAACGAUGCCAACUAGGUGUUGGGGAAGGAGACUUCCUUAGUACCGUAGCUAACGCGUGAAGUUGGCCGCCUGGGGAGUACGGUCGCAAGAUUAAAACUCAAAGGAAUUGACGGGGACCCGCACAAGCGGUGGAUGAUGUGGAUUAAUUCGAUGCAACGCGAAAAACCUUACCUACCCUUGACAUGCCAGGAACCUGCCAGAGAUGGCUUGGUGCCCGAAAGGGAGCCUGGACACAGGUGCUGCAUGGCUGUCGUCAGCUCGUGUCGUGAGAUGUUGGGUUAAGUCCCGCAACGAGCGCAACCCUUGUCAUUAGUUGCCAUCAUUCAGUUGGGCACUCUAAUGAGACUGCCGGUGACAAACCGGAGGAAGGUGGGGAUGACGUCAAGUCCUCAUGGCCCUUAUGGGUAGGGCUUCACACGUCAUACAAUGGUCGGUACAGAGGGUUGCCAAGCCGCGAGGUGGAGCCAAUCCCAGAAAGCCGAUCGUAGUCCGGAUCGCAGUCUGCAACUCGACUGCGUGAAGUCGGAAUCGCUAGUAAUCGCGGAUCAGCAUGUCGCGGUGAAUACGUUCCCGGGCCUUGUACACACCGCCCGUCACACCAUGGGAGUGGGUUGCUCCAGAAGUAGGUAGCCUAACCGCGAGGGGGGCGCUUACCACGGAGUGAUUCAUGA